GAAUAUUGCGCAAUGGGGGAAACCCUGACGCAGCAACGCCGCGUGAAUGAAGAAGGCCUUAGGGUUGUAAAGUUCUGUUUUCUGGGACGAUAAUGACGGUACCAGAGGAGGAAGCCACGGCUAACUACGUGCCAGCAGCCGCGGUAAUACGUAGGUGGCAAGCGUUGUCCGGAUUUACUGGGCGUAAAGGAUGCGUAGGCGGAUGUUUAAGUGAGAUGUGAAAUACCCGAGCUCAACUUGGGUGCUGCAUUUCAAACUGGAUAUCUAGAGUGCAGGAGAGGAAAGCGGAAUUCCUAGUGUAGUGGUGAAAUGCGUAGAGAUUAGGAAGAACACCAGUGGCGAAGGCGGCUUUCUGGACUGUAACUGACGCUGAGGCAUGAAAGCGUGGGGAGCAAACA
rnacentral:rRNA from 1 species